AGUGAACGCUGGCGGUAGGCCUAACACAUGCAAGUCGAACGGCUGCACAGAGGAGCUUGCUCCUUGGGUGGCGAGUGGCGGACGGGUGAGGAAUACAUCGGAAUCUACUCUGUCGUGGGGGAUAACGUAGGGAAACUUACGCUAAUACCGCAUACGACCUACGGGUGAAAGCAGGGGACCUUCGGGCCUUGCGCGAUUGAAUGAGCCGAUGUCGGAUUAGCUAGUUGGCGGGGUAAAGGCCCACCAGGGCGACGAUCCGUAGCUGGUCUGAGAGGAUGAUCAGCCACACUGGAACUGAGACACGGUCCAGACUCCUACGGGAGGCAGCAGUGGGGAAUAUUGGACAAUGGGCGCAAGCCUGAUCCAGCCAUACCGCGUGGGUGAAGAAGGCCUUCGGGUUGUAAAGCCCUUUUGUUGGGAAAGAAAUCCAGCUGGCUAAUACCCGGUUGGGAUGACGGUACCCAAAGAAUAAGCACCGGCUAACUUCGUGCCAGCAGCCGCAGUAA
rnacentral:rRNA from 1 species